AAGUCGUAACAAGGUCUCCGUUGGUGAACCAGCGGAGGGAUCAUUACCGAGUUGCAAAACUCCCAAACCAUUGUGAACCUACCUUCAACCGUUGCUUCGGCGGGCCGGUCCCCGCGACCGCCCGGCUCCCCUCUGGGGGCGCCCGCCGGAGGUUACCUACCUAAACCAUUUGCGUUUAUAUGGCCUCUCUGAGUCUUCUGUACUGAAUAAGUCAAAACUUUCAACAACGGAUCUCUUGGUUCUG
rnacentral:misc_RNA from 1 species